rnacentral:rRNA from 1 species
UGGGCCCACGGGGGGCAGCAGUGAGGAAUAUUGGUCAAUGGGAGAGAUCCUGAACCAGCCAAGCCGCGUGAGGGAAGACGGUCCUAUGGAUUGUAAACCUCUUUAGGCGGGGAGCAAUGCCGGGCACGUGUGCCCGGAGGGAGAGUACCCGCAGAAUAAGCAUCGGCUAACUCCGUGCCAGCAGCCGCGGUAAUACGGAGGAUGCGAGCGUUAUCCGGAUUUAUUGGGUUUAAAGGGUGCGUAGGCGGAUUUUUAAGUCAGCGGUAAAAUGUCCGGGCUCAACCCGUGCCGGCCGUUGAAACUGG